rnacentral:rRNA from 4 species
ACACGACUCUCGGCAACGGAUAUCUCGGCUCUCGCAUCGAUGAAGAACGCAGCGAAAUGCGAUACCUGGUGUGAAUUGCAGAAUCCCGUGAAUCAUCGAGUCUUUGAACGCAAGUUGCGCCCGAGGCCAUUCGGUCGAGGGCACGCCUGCCUGGGCGUCACGCGU